AACCUCCGCAAUGUGAGAAAUCGCGACGGGGGGAUCCCAAGUGCCAUUCUUAACGGGAUGGCUUUUCAUUAGUGUAAAGAGCUUUUGGAAUAAGAGCUGGGCAAGACCGGUGCCAGCCGCCGCGGUAACACCGGCAGCUCUAGUGGUAACAAUUUUUAUUGGGCCUAAAGCGUCCGUAGCCGGUUUAAUAAGUCUCUGGUGAAAUCCUGUAGCUUAACUGUGGGAAUUGCUGGAGAUACUAUUAGACUUGAGACCGGGAGAGGUUAGAGGUACUCCCAGGGUAGAGGUGAAAUUCUGUAAUCCUGGGAGGACCGCCUGUUGCGAAGGCGUCUAACUGGAACGGUUCUGACGGUGAGGGACGAAAGUUAGGGGCGCGAACCGGAUUAGAUACCCGGGUAGUCCUAACUGUAAACGAUGCGGACUUGGUGUUGGGGUGGCUUUGAGCUGUCUCAGUGCCGAAGGGAAGCUGUUAAGUCCGCCGCCUGGGAAGUACGGUCGCAAGACUGAAACUUAAAGGAAUU
rnacentral:rRNA from 1 species